AUUGAACGCUGGCGGCAGGCUUAACACAUGCAAGUCGAGCGGGGUGAUGGUGCUUGCACUAUCACUUAGCGGCGGACGGGUGAGUAAUGCUUAGGAAUCUGCCUAUUAGUGGGGGACAACAUCUCGAAAGGGAUGCUAAUACCGCAUACGUCCUACGGGAGAAAGCAGGGGAUCACUUGUGACCUUGCGCUAAUAGAUGAGCCUAAGUCGGAUUAGCUAGUCGGUGGGGUAAAGGCCUACCAAGGCGACCAUCUGUAGCGGGUCUGAGAGGAUGAUACGCCACACGGGGGAUGAGACACGGCCCAGACGCCUACGAGAGGCAGCAGUGAGGAAUAUUGGACAAUGGGGGGAACCCUGAUCCAGACAUGCCGCGUGUGUGAAGAAGGCCUUAUGGUUGUAAAGCACUUUAAGCGAGGAGGAGGCUCUUUUGGUUAAUACCCAAGAUGAGUGGACGUUACUCGCAGAAUAAGCACCGGCUAACUCUGUGCCAGCCGCCGCGGUAA
rnacentral:rRNA from 1 species